ensembl:miRNA aca-mir-18b aca-mir-18b
GAAACAGCUUCCUGUGCUAAGGUGCAUCUAGUGCAGUUAGUGAAGUAGCUUAGAAUCUACUGCCCUGAAUGCUCCUUCUGGCAUAGGAGGCC